AGCUGUAACUCCCUGAAAAAACCCAAUCUUAUCUGAUCUUGGGAGAUGAGUAGGGUCAGGCCUGGUUAGUUAAAGACAAGCAAAGACUACAGGUC
rnacentral:rRNA from 1 species